rnacentral:rRNA from 1 species
CCAAUAGCGUAUAUUAAAGUUGUUGCAGUUAAAAAGCUCGUAGUUGAAUUUUGGGUCUGGCCGGGCGGUCCGCCCUCCGGGUGAGCACUGUUCCGACGCCGGGCCUAUCCUUCUGGUGAGUCGGCAUGUCCUUUGUUGGGUGUGUCGGGGAACCAGGACCAUUACCUUGAAAAAAUUAGAGUGUUCAAAGCAGGCGUAUGCUCGGAUACAUUAGCAUGGAAUAAUGAAAUAGGACGCGUGGUGCUAUUUUGUUGGUUUCUAGAACCGCCGUAAUGAUUAAUAGGGAUAGUUGGGGGCAUUAGUAUUCAAUUGUCAGAGGUGAAAUUCUUGGAUUUAUUGAAGACUAACUUCUGCGAAAGCAUUUGCCAAGGAUGUUUUCAUUAAUCAAGAACGAAAGUUAGGGGAUCGAAGACGAUCAGAUACCGUCGUAGUCUUAACCAUAAACUAUGCCGACUAGGAAUCGGGCGAUGUUAUUCUCAUGACUCGCCCGGCGCCUUAUGGGAAACCAAGUGUUUGGGUUC